UACUGAGGAAUCAGCAGAACAUCUACCAGGGGAGAAGAUGUCUUCAGUUCACUUUGACUUGUUGAUCAUGUGACUGAUCCUGUUCUGAACCGGCUGCUGAUGACACUGACUCUUGUUUACAUGCACACUAAUACUCCGAUCAUUAUCCGAUCUCUGGAGUUCUCAGAUUAUUCAGGUGAUCAUGUAAACAGGAUAAUCUGAUUUGUGUUAUCUGAAAACAGC